GCUUUUGAAUUAAAUGUUCAAUAAUAAUAAAAUCAAACAUAAUUUAAUCAAAACAUUGAUUGAUCAAAACGUGUCAUUGCUCAAAUUAAGGUAUUAGUUUUUUAAGACUUUUUAUUUUUAAAAACCAGUGUUUUUCAUACGACUACGGCCGUGUAGUAGGUAUAAAGCACCCAAAAUAUCUUGGCUCUGUAGAUCAAGUCUAUACCUAGUGAAUGUCAUAUAUCUAUGGUCUACACUUUGCUACAAAAAAGUAAAGUUAAAAAAUAGUAAAAUGGCGUCAAUGGUACGAUUAAUGCGAUUGCUAUUAGUGUUGAUAUGUUUUGUAAAAUUGUUAAGGUGAUCGUUUUAAGAACUUAGUAACCUCCUUAUAUAGGUAAUAAUGAAAAAAAAGAGCAUUAUGAAUAGUGUGUUACAGAAAUAUCCCCCAUCAAGCUCAGCUAUAACCUGUCGGGAAACACGAUCUAGCACGGCAUGUGAGCACGGUUUCAGACAAAUAUCAGCUUGCCUCAAGGACUCUGCUCCAAAAUGUCUACGAGUAGCUCAAAUAAGGAAGAUGAGAGACGAGCAGAUUUGAUAAAAAAUAACAACUUACUAAUUCCAUGCAGAGAAGUCGCUGGAAGAAACUAGUAAGCUAUGAGUUAAGUACAUGUAUAAAAGUAAUAUGCCAUGUCAGAGAAGAGUGGCCUACCAAAUCCCACGAAAAAAGCAAAUUCUAAAUAAAACACGAGAGUGUGACACUGACAUCCGUCCGGACGCACCUUGAGGAAGGUACGGAAUACGGAACCCUAAAAUAAACAACGCUUCACUCA